UACAUCCUUUUCAGGAUCCUAGUUAAAGAGU
rnacentral:piRNA from 1 species